rnacentral:ncRNA from 1 species
CAAAAGCUUGGUCCUGACUUUAGUAUCAGCUCUGGUUAAACUUAUACAUGCAAGUAUCUGCACCCCAUGUGAGAAUGCCCUACCAUACUUUUCACCUCCAUAAGUUUAAGGAGCUGGCAUCAGGCACGACCCACUAGUCAGCCAAAAACACCUUGUAAUAGCCACACCCCCACGGGUCCUCAGCAGUAAUUAAUCUUAAGCAAUAAGUGAAAACUUGACUUAGUUAUACACCAAGGAGAGCCGGUAAAACUCGUGCCAGCCACCGCGGUUAUACGAGGGGCUCAAGUUGAUAUAUUAACGGCGUAGAAAGUGGUUACUACAUCGAAUUAAACUAAAGCUAAACACCCUCUAUGUUGUUAUACCCACCUGAUGGUAGGAAACAUUUUCCACGAAAGUGGCUUUAGAAUAUUAUUCACUCCACUAAAGCUAGGAAACAAACCGGGAUUAGAUACCCCGCUCUGCCCAGCCCUAAACACAAGUGUUUAUUUACACCCACCUCCACUUGCCAGGGAACUACGAGCCCCAGCUUAAAACCCAAAGGACUUGGCGGUGCUUUAGACCCACCUAGAGGAGCCUGUUCUAGAACCGAUAACCCCCGUUUAACCUCACCCUUCCUUGCAUCCCCUCCGCCUAUAUACCGCCGUCGUCAGCUUACCCCUUGAGGGAUCCACAAUAAGCAUAAUUGCUCAGCCCCCAAAACGACAGGUCGAGGUGUAGCGCAUGAAAGGGAAAGAAAUGGGCUACAUUCAAUGGAUACAAUGAAUAACGGAUAAUGUUUUGAAAUAUACAUUUUAAGGAGGAUUUAGCAGUAAAGAGAAAAAGCAGAGUGUUCUCUUGAAACUGGCCCUGAAGCGCGCACACACCGCCCGUCACUCUCCCCAAACACCCUUAUUAAACUAUAAAUAAAACAAAGUUUUUCUAAAAGAAGGGGAGGCAAGUCGUAACAUGGUAAGUGUACCGGAAGGUGCACUUGGAAAAA